AAAUUUAGGUUAAUCAUAAACCAAGGACCUUCAAAGUCCUAAAUAGGUUUCCCCCUAAUUUCUG
rnacentral:tRNA from 1 species